UUAUUUAUAGUGCUUAGAUCUGAAUUUUAUGUUUUCCUUUUCUACUUUCUUGGAUGUUGUGUGCUUAUUCAGCUUUGUUAUUUUGGAUUCAACUAGUAAUUUGAAGAAAUUUCAGAUUAGGAUUGAUUUUAGAGCCCCAAAACCAAAAUCUCUGUGAAUCUCAAAUCAGUUGUUGAUGGUUUUUGGGUUCUCUAGAAUCAACUUUCUUGAUUUAAUCAAAAUUGUGAUAUAUGAUUGCUUAGAAGAUUUGUAGUGGCAGAAUGUGUACCUUAUUUGAAUGCAUCGAUCACACUCCUCCCUUUUCCAAAAAAAAGUUGAUGGGCAAAGAGGAUCUCUCAACAGUGCUUAGAUUAAACAUUUGGAUUUGUCAGUCUCUUUGAACUCUUCUCUGAGGUUCCUGGAGUUCGGAAGCUCCUACAUUUUGCACUUAAUCAAAGCUACUUGAUGAUUGUAACUUUGUUUUUUUGUAGUAAUUGCUUAAAAUUAUGUUUGAACAGAACGGUGAGGUGUGGAUUCUGUUUUUGCUGUUUCUUAUAGGUAUCUAAAAAUGGUUCAUUUCUUAUAUUGUAAAAAGACACAACAAAAAAUUGUGAUCUAUGAUUGCUUAGAAUAUUUGUAGUGGCAGAAUGUUUAACCUAUUUGGAUAGCAUUGAUCACAUGCGCAGAAUGUUUAACCUGUUUGGAUAGCAUUGGUCACACACACUUCUCCCUUUUCCCAAGAAAAAAAAAAGGAAAUUGAUGGGUAAAGUGGAUCUCUCAAUAAUGCUUACAUUAAAACAUUUGGAGUUUGUUAGUCUCUUUGAACUCUUCCUUGAGGUUCCUGGAGUUCGGAUACUCCUACAUUUUGCAAUUAAUCAAAGCCACUUAGUGAUUGUAACCUUUUCUUUUUGUAGUAAUUGCUUAACAUUAUGUUUGAACAAAACGAGGCAUGGAUUCUGUUUUUGCUGUUGCUUAUAGGUAUUUAAAAAUGGUUCAUUUCUUACCUUGUAAGAAGACUUCUGAUGCAUCCAAAACAGCUAAAAAAUAUGAUCUAUGAUUGCUCAGAAUAUUUGUAGUGGCAGAAUGUUUAACCUAUUUGGAUAGCAUUAAUCACACACACUCCUCCCUUUUCCCAAAAGAAAAUUGAUGGGUAAACUGGAUCUAUCAACAUUGCUUACAUUAGACAUCUGGAGUUUGUUAGUCUCUUUGAACUCUUUUUUGAGGUUCCUAGAAUUCGAAAGUUCCUACAUUUUACAUUUACUCAAAGCCACUUGAUGAUCGUAACCUUUUUAUUUUUUUGUAGUAAUUGCUUAACAUUAUGUUUGAACAGAACGAGACAUGGAUUCUGUUUUUGCUGUUGCUUAUAGGUAUUUAAAAAUAGUUCAUUCCUUACCUUGUAAAAAGACUUCUGAUGUCCAGAACGACUAAAAAAUGUGAUUAUGAUUGCUUAGAAUAUUUAUAGUGACAGAAUGUUUAACUUAUUUGGAUAGCAUUGAUCACACUCCUCCCUUUUCCCAAAAAUAAUUGAUGGGCAAAGUGGAUCCAUCAACAAUGCUUACAUUAAACAUCUGGAGUUUGUUAGUCUCUUUGAACUCUUCUUUGAGGUUCCUGGAGUUCGGAAGCUCCUACAUUUUGCACUUAAUCAAAGCCACUUGAUGUUGGUAACUUUUAAUUUUCUUUUUUGUAGUAAUUGCUUAACAUUAUGUUUGAACAGAACGAGGCAUGGAUUCUGUUCUUGCUGUUGCUUAUAGGUAUUUAAAAAUGGUUCAUUCCUUACCUUGUAAAAAGACUUCUGAUGUCCAAAACGACUAAAAAAUGUGAUUAUGAUUGCUUAGAAUAUUUAUAGUGACAGAAUGUUUAACUUAUUUGGAUAUCAUUGAUCACACUCCUCCCUUUUCCCAAAAAUAAUUGAUGGGCAAAGUGGAUCCAUCAACAAUGCUUACAUUAAACAUCUGGAGUUUGUUAGUCUCUUUGAACUCUUCUUUGAGGUUCCUGGAGUUCGGAAGCUCCUAUAUUUUGCACUUAAUCAAAGCCACUUGAUGUUGGUAACCUUUUAAUUUUCUUUUUUGUAGUAAUUGCUUAACAUUAUGUUUGAACAGAACGAGGCAUGGAUUCUGUUCUUGCUGUUGCUUAUAGGUAUUUAAAAAUGGUUCAUUCCUUACCUUGUAAAAAGACUUCUGAUGUCCAAAACGACUAAAAAAUGUGAUUAUGAUUGCUUAGAAUAUUUAUAGUGACAGAAUGUUUAACUUAUUUGCCUAGCAUUGAUCACACUCCUCCCUUUUCCCAAAAAUAAUUGAUGGGCAAAGUGGAUCCAUCAACAAUGCUUACAUUAAACAUUUGGAGUUUGUUAGUCUCUUUGAACUCUUCUUUGAGGUUCCUGGAGUUUGGAAGCUCCUACAUUUUGCACUUAAUCAAAGCCACUUGAUGUUGGUAACCUUUAAAUUUUUUUUUUUGUAGUAAUUGCUUAACAUUAUGUUUAAGCAGAAUGAGGUAUGGAUUCUUUUUUUUGCUGUUGCUUAUAGGUAUUUGAAAAUGGUUCAUUUCUUACCUUGUAAGAAGACUUCUGAUGUGUCCAAAACAACUAAAUUGUUUUCAAGGAGACUGUUCAGUUGCAUGGCAAAGCCUCCAUUUUUCAGGGUCUCAUCGAAUGAGAUAGCAAAUUAAUAGUUGUGAGGAGAUUGAUCGUAAAUAUAUGGUAUCAUAAGCAUAUUAAUAAUACAAAUUAGAUCCGAGUGGAGUUUGAACUCGAGAAUUCACAUUCUGAAUACAACUCUAUUACCAGUAAUCCAAAGUUAUUAAUAUGAAUUGAUUGCUUAUUAGGCAAGUAAGCCACUGUGACUGCUUACUCCUUUUUGUUGAAAGAAAUUAAAUUUUUUUGUGUUCUGUUUCUAAGUAAUCAGUAAUUUUGUUUUUCAGUAUCUUAGUUGAUAAGAGUUAUGCCUUGGAGUUACAAUUCUGGACUACAUGUGUUAUGUCUUUUGAGGGCCUUUUAUAGUGUCCUUGAAUUUGUCGAAAGUGCCAUCAAAGUAUAUCUCUUAUGCAUUUGGUUAUCCUGUGCAGGUC
rnacentral:lncRNA from 1 species